rnacentral:rRNA from 1 species
AAUUGAAGAGUUUGAUCAUGGCUCAGAUUGAACGCUGGCGGCAGGCCUAACACAUGCAAGUCGAGCGGAAACGGCAGCAUUGAAGCUUCGGUGGAUUUGCUGGACGUCGAGCGGCGGACGGGUGAGUAACGGCUGGGAACCUGCCCUGACGMGGGGGAUAACCGUUGGAAACGACGGCUAAUACCGCAUAAUGUCUUAGUUCAUUACGAGCUGGGACCAAAGGUGGCCUMUACAUGUAAGCUAUCGCGUUGGGAUGGGCCCAGUUAGGAUUAGCUAGUUGGUAAGGUAAUGGCUUACCAAGGCAACGAUCCUUAGCUGGUUUGAGAGGAUGAUCAGCCACACUGGGACUGAGACACGGCCCAGACUCCUACGGGAGGCAGCAGUGGGGAAUAUUGCACAAUGGGGGAGACCCUGAUGCAGCCAUGCCGCGUGUGUGAAGAAGGCCUUCGGGUUGUAAAGCACUUUCAGCAGUGAGGAAGGUGGUGUACUUAAUAAGUGNGGGGGAUAACCGUUGGAAACGACGGCUAAUACCGCAUAAUGUCUYAGUUCAUUACGAKCUGGGACCAAAGGUGGCCUCUACAUGUAAGCUAUCGCGUUGGGAUGGGCCCAGUUAGGAUUAGCUAGUUGGUAAGGUAAUGGCUUACCAAGGCGACGAUCCUUAGCUGGUUUGAGAGGAUGAUCAGCCACACUGGGACUGAGACACGGCCCAGACUCCUACGGGAGGCAGCAGUGGGGAAUAUUGCACAAUGGGGGAGACCCUGAUGCAGCCAUGCCGCGUGUGUGAAGAAGGCCUUCGGGUUGUAAAGCACUUUCAGCAGUGAGGAAGGUGGUGUACUUAAUAAGUGCAUGGCUUGACGUUAGCUGCAGAAGAAGCACCGGCUAACUCCGUGCCAGCAGCCGCGGUAAUACGGAGGGUGCGAGCGUUAAUCGGAAUUACUGGGCGUAAAGCGCAUGCAGGCGGUUUGUUAAGUCAGAUGUGAAAGCCCGGGGCUCAACCUCGGAACCGCAUUUGAAACUGGCAGGCUAGAGUCUUGUAGAGGGGGGUAGAAUUUCAGGUGUAGCGGUGAAAUGCGUAGAGAUCUGAAGGAAUACCAGUGGCGAAGGCGGCCCCCUGGACAAAGACUGACGCUCAGAUGCGAAAGCGUGGGUAGCAAACAGGAUUAGAUACCCUGGUAGUCCACGCCGUAAACGCUGUCUACUUGGAGGUUGAGGUUUAGACUUUGGCUUUCGGCGCUAACGCAUUAAGUAGACCGCCUGGGGAGUACGGCCGCAAGGUUAAAACUCAAAUGAAUUGACGGGGGCCCGCACAAGCGGUGGAGCAUGUGGUUUAAUUCGAUGCAACGCGAAGAACCUUACCUACUCUUGACAUCCAGCGAAUCCUUUAGAGAUAGAGGAGUGCCUUCGGGAGCGCUGAGACAGGUGCUGCAUGGCUGUCGUCAGCUCGUGUUGUGAAAUGUUGGGUUAAGUCCCGCAACGAGCGCAACCCUUAUCCUUGUUUGCCAGCACRUAAUGGUGGGAACUCCAGGGAGACUGCCGGUGAUAAACCGGAGGAAGGUGGGGACGACGUCAAGUCAUCAUGGCCCUUACGAGUAGGGCUACACACGUGCUACAAUGGCAGAUACAGAGGGCAGCGAAGCUGCGAAGUGGAGCGAAUCCCUUAAAGUCUGUCGUAGUCCGGAUUGGAGUCUGCAACUCGACUCCAUGAAGUCGGAAUCGCUAGUAAUCGUGGAUCAGAAUGCCACGGUGAAUACGUUCCCGGGCCUUGUACACACCGCCCGUCACACCAUGGGAGUGGGCUGCACCAGAAGUAGAUAGCUUAACCUUCGGGAGGGCGUUUACCACGGUGUGGUUCAUGACUGGGGUGAAGUCGUAACAAGGUAGCCCUAGGGGAACCUGGGGCUGGAUCACCUCCUUA